rnacentral:tRNA from 1 species
GGAGGGUAUAGCUCAGUGGUAGAGUGCAUGCUUAGCAUGCAUGAGGUCCUGGGUUCAAUCCUCAGUACCUCCA